CAGAGGGUGCGAGCGUUGUCCGGAAUCACUGGGCGUAAAGGGCGCGUAGGCGGCUUUUCAAGCGUGUGGUGAAAGCUCGGGGCUCAACCCCGAGUCGGCCAUGCGAACUGGGAGGCUUGAGCACGGUAGAGGCACAUGGAAUUCCGGGUGUAGCGGUGGAAUGCGUAGAGAUCCGGAGGAACACCGGUGGCGAAGGCGGUGUGCUGGGCCGUAGCUGACGCUGAUGCGCGACAGCGUGGGGAGCAAACAGGAUUAGAUACCUUGGUAGUCCACGCCGUAAACGAUGGGCACUAGGUCCUUGGGGGAGCGACCCCCUGAGGGCCGGCGCAAACGCAUUAAGUGCCCCGCCUGGGGAGUACGGCCGCAAGGCUG
rnacentral:rRNA from 1 species